UACGAAGGGGGCUAGCGUUGCUCGGAAUCACUGGGCGUAAAGCGCACGUAGGCGGAUCGUUAAGUCGGGGGUGAAAUCCUGGAGCUCAACUCCAGAACUGCCUUCGAUACUGGCGAUCUUCGAGUCCGGGAGAGGUGAGUGGAACUCCGAGUGUAGAGGUGAAAUUCGUAGAUAUUCGGAAGAACACCAGUGGCGAAAGGCGGCUCACUGGCCCGGUACUGACGCUGAGGUGCGAAAGCGUGGGGAGCAAACAGG
rnacentral:rRNA from 1 species